GUUACCUGCGUGUAACGCACAGCACGCGCAAGCAGCGGCGCUGGCAGCCGUGGCCCCUCCUCUCGCUCGCCCAUUCUCCCCGUGCGCCGUCGUGAUUCUGCUGAACCCUUCGAUUCAGCAUCUUCUGAAUACCCCAUUUCUAGGUACUCCCCUCUGACUCUAUUGCGCUCUUUGCGGCUGCGCUGCGCGAGUGCAUGAGGUCACCAUGUUUGCACCGCAAAGAGACACCGUAGACAGCGCUCAUGAGCAGGUGUUCGGGUACAGGCCGGCGCGCAGCACUGCUGCUGCGGACGCUGCUCCUGCGUCACAGCGUCCACAGCCGCCGCUCACGGCUCCGCCGCUGCGCUCACGCCCAAAAAGUCAUCCUGUUCCUAGUAGCGGGCUCGCGCUCGUGCCACGCCAGCCAGCAGGGCGACAACGCUUGCUUGCUGGGACGCUCAGUCAUCGCCAAGCUCCUCGCAAGCGGAUUAUUCUUUCGAGCAGGGGCUCCGGCACGGAGUGCACUGCUGACCUGGUGCGGCAGCAGUAUCACGGCGCGGCCUACGCGGACCCCGGGCAGCGUGCACCGCUCGACUCCAAGUGCUACAGCCCCCCCAUCCCCACCAGCAGCAGAACCUCUUUGUGCGCCAACGCGCUCACGACUUUGGCGCAGGCGGAGCUCAGUGAGCCAGCGCUGUCUCCCACAUUCCCGGUCGUCACCUCCUUACCACGCACCAAUCCGUACUACUGCCACGUUCCCAAGUUACCGCCUUCGGCGAGGAGACAGGCGGACGCUGAUGCAGCGCCGAUGCCGCCUCCAGAGCCUGUUCGCGAUGCCUUUGAAUCCUCGCCACGGAGCGCCUGGGCAACCUCGCAACCGCAAAUGACAAACUCCCCAUCUCUGCGCACCGAUCCUAGUGUUGGGACCGCAGCUGCUUCCAUGGUGAGUGCAACGGCGACGUUGCACAGAAGCGGCAGUGCAGGCGUUUUUGAGCGUCUUGCUGGUGAGUCGCGCAUCGGAGUGACGAUGCUCGGCAAGCGCGUGCGUCAGUGGGCCGAGGGUGCGGGCCUGGUGCUCCACCCCUCCAGCUCUGCGUGGCACGCGCUGCUGGCCUACUCGACGGAGCCCCUUAGGCACGAGCGGCUGUGGCGGCAAACGUGUGCCAAGGGCCGCUACCGGCUGUCAUUGCUCGCGCGCGCCAAGGCCGGCGACACCACUCACUUUGCCAACACUGUGCAAGAGCACAAGGCUGCUCAUCGGCCAUCGCAUGCUGAUCCGCGUCAAGAAGCCAUGGCUCAUGGCCAGCGGGGCCCUGCGAGGCGACGCUCCUUACCUUCGGCCACUCCUGGCGGUCUGAGCGCCUACCGCCGCCAGCAGGAGUACACGCUGUGGUGUCGGUGGCAGCUGUGGCACUUUUUCGAGCAGGGCAGACGCUAUCUGACGAGUGUGUGGCGUGUGCCGCCCCUCCUUGACUCUCAGCGACGCCACGCCGUCCGCUGCUGUGGCAAUAUCGAGUGCAGAACAACCUCUCCUGCAUCGUCGAUUUCUCGCAUCUUCGAUGGCCGCUACGUGGUGCCGAGUGCGGCGAGUAUCGACGCCGCGCAAGAGGAACACAGAGCACUGGAGAAGCGGGUAAACGUCCUGCUGCGUCUUCUGCGGCAAGAAAACGGCCCCUCUGCGCCGACGUUCGCGGAGCGUUCUGGCAACCAUGAAGGUGCUGUCAACGGAGCUGGAAUGACCGCUUGCGGAGCGGGGGCCAUGGCCGGCAGCACCGUCUUGGACCCGGAUGGAGAGGGGGCGGAGGAUGAGGAAACGGCAAACGUGUAUCACUCGGUAAGCCAGUCGCGGCGCAUCAGUGAGGCUGUGGCGGCAACGCAGCCAUACCUCGACGUGCGCGUGGAUAAUACGACGGGCCUCAUGCAUUUAAGCCUGUACGUCAACGGAGACGCCGGCGGUAACGGUGCGGAAUUCGUCGGCAACAGCGUCGCCGGAUGCAUCGACAACCACCGCUGGGUGAUCCUGAAGGGCCUGUGGGCGCUACAGGUGCUCGUGUUCUGCUUCCAUCGAGAGGAGGAGCUGCCGUCGUCGACUGAGAAGCAUGCCGACGAGUACCUCAAGAGGCAGGGUGGAUAUGACGAGCAGACGGAGCAAGAUGCGAGCCGUCGCAGCCAGAUAGUCGACGGACUGGUGGUCAAAGGCGUGGCGUUCGCCAAGGUGAAGACGGGGCACACUUUAGCGACAGCGCAGGACACCUUUGCGUGCACUCGCUGCGGACAAACGCGGCGUCUUCAUAAUGAAGUGUAUAUUUCGAAAAAGACAGGCCGUAUUGUAUGCGGCAUGUACUACUGCGUUGUGUGCCUGGCUCGCACGCACCACGUCCGUCUUCCACCCAUGAAGGACAUCCCGCCGGGUCUGCUCGGCGAGAGAGAGGCUUCCGUGGCGGACGUUAGUUGGCUGCACACAGUGCGUGACGUCUCCUCCGCUCGAUGUAGCGCCUCGCUGUCGCGCUUUGCGAACACAGGCUUGUCAGACCUGCUUCCGUCGGCCUACGCACAUCAGUGCAGCAUGAGCUCCGCUCGCGCUGCCGACGCGCCGCAGUUACCGGAUGAGGCGGCAGCCACCGCGAUGCGAGAGUGGACCCGUGCUGCGGCUGCCGCCCCGCCUCCUGAGUGGCACCCCGGCGGUAAGGUGGACAGCGAUGAGCUCUUUGGUGGGACGCGCGGGUUGGACUGCCCGCCUCCGCGACCUCGCAUGUAGGAUGCGAAGGGAAAAGGCCCGCUCUUGUUUGUAUUUGCGUUUGCCUUUGUGGAUGAUUAAAGGUGGCGCUCGCCCCAUUGCCAUCGCGUAGCCCCCUCUCCCCGCAGGUAGUGAGAGACGAGCACAUCCAUUGCACAUGCUCGGCGAUUUCUGUACGUCUGCUUGUCAGUGUAUGCUGACGCGCCGACGUGCGUCGCUUCAUCUCUCGACUGCGGCACCACCUCUGCGUUCUCCGAAUCAGCUGUGGGAUCCCCUUCGCAAGUACGUACGAAUGACGCGUCGAACAUGUGCGGCUCUGCAGCGCUGGGAGGGAGGCAGCAACGGCAACGCCACUCGUCUGCUAAAGACGACGCGGGCUGCUUUUGACUUGAGCUUUCCUAUUCGGCACUCAUAGAAGGGCCAGUGACGGUCUCUCUCGCUGGAGAAAUUGUGCGAUGCUGCGGCUUCCUUCUAUCACGUCCUGUCUUGGGUUUGCCUAGUCGUGCGCAACCUCACUACAUUGCAACCGCACGCCCCCUCCCCCUUCCCAACGUGCUUUCCUUGCCUCGACGACAGUUUCCUCUGCGGAACUCGUUUCUCCCCACUCACCGCGAAAGGCAACCCAGCGGACGGGAAAAACAUG
rnacentral:misc_RNA from 1 species